CUGGGAGAUCAUUGAUGGUGUUCGGAUUUUUCUAUGAAUCACUGUUAACUCCUUCCUUUCCUCCUUUCCCUGGAAAACCUCAGCUUUGCAUUUCAAUGUUGCACGAUAUGGAUCAGAUUAUUGGGUCACUAUAGAGAUUUGUAUAUUUUAAAAAAGCCUACCUUUUGGGUGAUUUUUGUAUCUUGUUUUCUAUUUGUUUUCUACAGACUGGGGAGAGAGCUGGCAAACUGUGAAUCUAAAUUUGACCUUGCUGCCAGCAGAUAUAGUUUUGACUUUCUGGUAGGAUACUAUGGACAGUAUCUUGCCCUCUGAUCAGUAUUCCAUCUCAAAUCCACAAAUUACUCCAAUCCAAUAUGACAUUAUUAAAAAAAAAAAACUUAAGAUUUUUUGCUAUUAUUUAUGAAAAGCAUGAUAAAAUGUAUGUAUAGUCCUGGGUGUUAUAUGUUUCAUAUUAAUUUAGUCUUUGUACUGUUAUAGGUUUUUAUCUGUAUUUCAGAAAUCAUCAAAACCUCAGUGUACACUGAAUUCAUCUAUUUAAUAUCAGUAAUUUUGCAGACAGAUAUUUUCUUAUGGUAUUUUCUAUAUAGCCACAUGUAUAGAAUUGUAACUAAUUAGAGCACAAAGAAUUUCUACAACAAUUUAAAGCUAGCAUGGAUUUCCUCAGCAUAUUACUACAUUUGAAAAACCCAUCCCUAAGUAAAUCAAUCAACAAAACAACCACGAAGAAUAAGAAAUUGCUUGAAUUGCUUCCAAGGUUAGGAUACACCCUAAGCAACUGAUCUUCUGAACUCAAGGAAUGGUGCUGAUUUUUAAAUUUUUGACACCAGGCCUUGUUUUCCCAGCUGAGCAUUCUAAUUUUGAUUUUCUCUAAGAUGAUCAAAGAUGAAAUGAUAAAGAUGGAAUCAUUCACGUGUGAGAAUCUGCCCUAUGUUCCGAAAUGUUUAUGUGAAUAUGGCUUAGGAAAACUUUGAGUCACAAACACUGAAGCUGGGUGCAAGGAAGAAAUCAGAACCGAUUUGUGGCAGUUAAUUCUUGCCAAGCAAAACAGUAGUAAAUAUCACAUUGUUAUGUAAAUUGAGUGCAUAUUUUUAAAGUGUUUUAAGUGCCAGCUGUGAAGCAGUGCUGUGUCAGUGGGGGCUGGAUAGUGGAGUUUAAUGUCACCUGGAACCUUCCCGAAUGGUGAAUCAGGAGCCACUGCGGAGACAAGAUGUCUUUUCUGCGCCAAACACACCUUCUUAUGGUGGUAGGGCUAAUUUUUUAUUGACCUAAAAUGUAGUUGGUUACCUAGCAAAUGCACUAGUGUUUCUUUGAAUUUGCUUCUUAUUGAGCAAACAUAAUAGGUGUGCCCUCAACAGGCAAAGAGUGUAUCUAUUUUCAAGUACAGCCAGCUGUCGAAGCAUGAAGCUCUUGUGUAUACACACUGCCACUUGGUUCACGCAUGAAGAACAGUGCCUAUGCACUUUGUGUAGCUAUAAUGUAGGUAUUUGUAAUUUCAGUGAAAUGGUGUAUAGAUGCAUUUAAUUUAAUGUAAAUGUUAUUUUGGCUAUUCAUAUAAAUGCAGUAGCUAUGUUGACUGGUGUUUUAAAAACCCUUCUUUUCCUGAGUAGACACCUAGCAGUGAAUCAUUUCUUCUCUCUUUUGAUGUGAUGUGGGAAUAAAUAUGCGUGAAAAACUUACCUAUGAAUCUUUGUAAAAAUGAUAGUCUGAAAGUCUGUGUGUAUCCAGCACCUUGUAAAUACACAGUUCAGAGCAGGAAUGGGCUGGAUGUGCAUCCUGGUUCUUAGUGAAAGGUCAGCAGACAUUUAUCUAAUACACAGUGAAUGCAACUAUGGAGCUUUUGAUUAUCUAGGCUUAGGUAGGUUUAGAUGAGCACAUUGACUUACAGUCCUCAAUAGCUUGGUGGAUUGGGCUCAGACAGGUGAGCCAACCUGCUCCUAUGCAUGUCAGCAUCAUGUCCUUACAAGGAAGGGCCAGACUGUCUGGUUGCCAAAUACACCUCAUGAUGCACAUGAAUGAAGGGCUCUAAAAUGACUUGUCCCCUUGGCUUCUUGAGUCAGAGCUUGGGGGGUGGGGAGAACAGCUGCUGCCUAACUGCUAGGCAAGGAACCCUCCCCAGAGCACAGUGUUGGCAUUAGCCAUACACUUGUCUGUAGAAAGGGAGACCUUUGGAAGCACAGGAAGAGUCAGGGGGCAAGUUUCGGAGCACAGAUCCCACAUAUGUGAAGGGAGUGUGACCUCCUUUACCUAGUAUUGCUUUGUAUGUUUGGCCUGGUUGAAGAUGAGAUUGACUGAUGCAAUUGUACACUCACCACCAAAAUCAUUAGAUGUAACACUAUAAGUCUAUUGCUCCUGUGACUGCUUUCUCCACUCAAUGACAGAGACAAAACGUCCAUGUGCUAGAAGCAACACUAAGGGUCCCUCUCUUUGUUCAAGAGGAAUGGAGCCUCUGAUAUCACAGCAAAAAUAUGCAAAGCACACUGAUUUGAAAUGGCUUCUUCAAAUGAACAGAAUGAGGGGAUAUGACCAACAGACACAUUUUCUCUUGAAAAUGUAGUUUCUUCAACUCCUGCCAUGUCCAGAGUGGAAAACUUACUGAAAGAAGGCAGGAUUAUUGAAUGUCAAGAAUGGAAGGCAAAAAUAAUUGUUUCCUUCACAUUCACAAUCCUUUUGGUCAGAAGUCAUGUAGCGUAGAGCACCUAUAACAGACACUGUUGAAACACUAAUGAAUGCACAAAAAAGGAUAAAACUGUCAACUAAUGAUGAGGUUCUUAUGUGUGGUACUAGGAAAUGCCCGUUGGCAAAGCACAUUUUGAGUAGGUGAGAUCUUUUGUGUUUGCCUUUAGUUUUCUAAGCAUUCUUACAAAGUGGACCAAUUUCUGUAACAUUUCAUGUGUACAAUAACUGAAUAGUCUUUAUAUGCUGGAAAUAACCUGUGAAUCCAACAUUUCACUAAGUGUUUUAACUGUUAUGUACAUAUAUAUCAUCAAUAAACGUGGGUUUCAAAAAAAAAAAAAAGAAAACUAACAGUA